UAAACUGCUGUGCUGGAAAGACGACCAACUGUUCCCGUUCUUUCCUGUGUUUCAGGUUGAGAACAUCUGAAAGCUAGUGAAACUAUAACUGUGUAUUUCCCUGAGCCGAGUUUAGGGAGGUAACAUCAGCCCUUUUGCUGGCAGCAUUUUGUGUUGAGUAUUUUUUGGACCAUUACUGGGCCUCACAUCCUGGCCUCAGCUUCCUGAAUACAGAACAUCAUUCCAACACACCCCAUUGACGGUUUGCUGGGAAAGAAUGAGGGCAGUGGCCAUUGCUCGAAGACUGCAAGGGAAGCCCAUUGCGCGAAUUUGAACGGUAAUUGGAUAAAUGCUGGGCUUUGCCCCACUCAUCGGAUGCUCAGUGUCUAUGGGGGUCUGUGGGGCAGCGGGCUGGCUCGGAUGUUGCAUGAUGAAUUGAUGAUCUGCCUGAGACGAAAUCAAUCAAUCAGUCAAUCAGUCAAAAAGAUUGACAGUGAAAUUAGCCAAUCAGCGAUCUUGAAGUAUAACCAUUUUCCAAGUUUUUUUCAUUUUGAUGUUAUGAGCUGAUCCAGAGACUUUAUCAAUCCCCAGCGAUUUUGUCUUUGUUAAAAGGACUAGUGUUGUGUUUGGCGACUCUCUUUUGUCUCUUUUGUGGUUUGUUUCCGCAACGAGCAGCGGCAGCUGCGGAGCUUCUACCCCCGUCACAAUCACUCACACUCACAGCCGGUCACACAGACUCAAACAGCAGCUCCAGCUGCUAGCAAGCUGCACAUCAUGGUAGACACUAGAAUUUACAUAUAAAUAAAUAAACAUAAUGAUGAAGUCGCCCACAAAAAACUUUGCUUCUCCUCCUGAAUGACCAGCAGCUGUCAUUAUUGGAAUGUCUGACUUAGUAGAUUUUUCUACAAUUUUUGCCAUUUUUUUACAAUUUUCUAUGCCACUUAUCCUCACUAGGGUCACGGGUAUGCACAAGCCUAUGCCAGCUGACUUCGGGCGAGAGGCGGGUUACAUCCCGGACUAGUCGUCAGCCAAUCACAGCCUAUUGUUAUUCAUAUUUUUUCACAUUACAUGUAGUGGUAAACUCUGAAAUCUUGCCAAAUUUACAUUUUGUGUUCAUUGAUAAUUCAUAAUACCUUCAUAAUACCAAGAUAAUUGUUGUGGGGGUGUUGCCAAUACUACCAAAAGAUAACCAAAAAGUAACAAUUAGUCAACAUUGGGGGACAUUAGAGUAGCAUUGAGGGCACUAAACAUGUAACCAACACAAAACAUUUAGAGAAUGUAAUACAAACUGUAACCUUGUGGCAACCAAAUGGUAAUCAAAACCAAACCACAAAAAAAUGUUUCUGCAAAAAAGUUAAUGUUAAUAAUGUUAAUGCCAUUCUGGGACAUAAUGGCUAGUCGGGAAGGUAUGGGAGCCUGUCAGAAUACAUUUUCACAGAGGGGUAAAGAAAAACGUCUCCAGCCUCUGCCACAGAAACACAGUAGAAUGUUUUUCUGUGACAUGAAGUGACAGACAGACGGCAGUAGCCCAAGGGGGAACUUGGGGGUUUAUGUAAAUGUACUGUUGACGAUCUCUGUGUACACCCUGAUCACAAGUUUCAAUAUUUUCUUUUUAAGGUGACGUGCUCGAACAAUAUUCAUGAUGGGUUAUAUAGUGGGUGUCCACCACAUACUGAAAAAUGAAAGGAUGCAAGGUCCACUUUGAAAUCAAUUUUGUAAUAUUAUGAUUUAUUUCCCAUAAUAUUUUUACUUUAUUCCCAUAUUACAGUGUAACUUUUUUCCUACCUAAUUUUCGAAAAACAAACUUAUUUUGUUGUGUUUGUCUCUCAUAUUAUUAUGACUAUUUCAAAAAAUUAAGUAUUUUUUCUUUUAUAUUUCAACUGCAUGUGACUUCAAUUACAUUAUUUUUCCUCAUAAUAUCAUAAGUUUAUUUUCAUAAAAUUGCAGCUUUUUUCUUGGGAGAAUAUAACUUCUUUUCUGUUAAUAUUUUUGACAUUAUUCCAACCAUUUAAACUUUAAAUUACUGCAGAUUUUUCCAUUUUGUUUUUGUGUUUUUGGUUUUCUUGUUAAAUUAUAGUUUUAGAGUGUGCCUAAAAAAACAGCUGUGGACUGCAAAUGGAACUCGAGCCCCACCUUGGAUGGGUUACAUCAUGAAAUUCUUCUGUUAAAUACUGAUGAUUAAUUGUAUUUUAUAAUAUUUUAUUUGUAUUUUAUAUUUAUUACAUGUAUAAUGUACAGUAACUCAAUGAGGAU